GACGAACGCUGGCGGCGUGCUUAACACAUGCAAGUCGAGCGGUAAGGCCCUUUCGGGGGUACACGAGCGGCGAACGGGUGAGUAACACGUGGGUGACCUGCCCUCAGCUCUGGGAUAAGCCUGGGAAACCGGGUCUAAUACUGGAUAUGACUCCAUGACGCAUGUUGUGGGGUGGAAAGCCUUGUGCGGCUGAGGAUGGGGCCCCGCGGCCUAUCAGCUUGUUGGUGGGGUGANGGCCUACCAAGGCGACGACGGGUAGCCGGCCUGAGAGGGCGGACGGCCACACUGGGACUGAGACACGGCCCAGACUCCUACGGGAGGCAGCAGUGGGGAAUUUUCGCAAUGGGCGCAAGCCUGACGAAGCAACGCCGCGUGGGGAUGAAGGUCUUCGGAUCGUAAACCCCUGUCGACCGGGACGAACGCACCCGACUAACACGUCGAAGUGUUGACUGUACCGGUGGAGGAAGCCACGGCUAACUCUGUGCCAGCAG
rnacentral:rRNA from 1 species